UUUAUUGAGAGUUUGAUCCUGGCUCAGGAUGAACGCUGGCGGCGUGCUUAACACAUGCAAGUCGAACGGAACACCAAGGAAAGAGUUUUCGGACAAUGGAAUUGGUUGUUUAGUGGCGGACGGGUGAGUAACGCGUGAGUAACCUGCCUUGGAGUGGGGAAUAACACAGUGAAAACUGUGCUAAUACCGCAUGAUAUAUU
rnacentral:rRNA from 1 species